UUUCCGUAGGUGAACCUGCGGAAGGAUCAUUAUUGAAUAAACCUGAUGUGGUUGUAGCUGGCCCUUUCGGGAGCAUGUGCACACCCGUCGUCUUUAUCUUUCCACCUGUGCACCUUUUGUAGACCUGGAUGUAACACUUUCCGAGGCAACUCGGUCAGGAGGAAUGCUGUCAGCUUUCCUUGAAUGUCCAGGCCUAUGUUUUCAUAUACCCCAAAGAAUGUAACAGAAUGUAUUAUUGGGCCUUGUGCCUAUAAACUAUAUACAACUUUCAGCAACGGAUCUCUUGGCUCUA
rnacentral:misc_RNA from 1 species